UCCCAAGAUGAGGAGAUAAUAAGCUCUUCAUCAGUGGAUAGACGUUUGCUUCGAGAAGUGGACAACCCUUUCGACUUGGCUGCAACUGAGUUUCGUAACCUUUACCGAUUAACCCCAGACUUGGUUGAAGAUAUUGUUUCCCAGCUUGAUAGCCAAUUAAGGGGUCGAAGAAUAACUGCGAUAACGACAGAGAAACAGGUUCUAACUGCCUUGCGAUUCUUCGCAACUGGCUGUUAUCAACGUCCAGUCGGAGAGCAAUGGGGGAUAUUCAUGAGCCAGUCGUCCGUAAGUCGCUGUAUACAUCGCGUAACGGAUGCAAUAAACCGCACCAUGUUUUUGGCAAAGGUUAGGUUUCCAAUGACCCAAAUAGAGCGGCAAGCUGCAAAAGAAAUUUUCGCCUCAGCAUCCGCACCAUUUGUAGGAGGUACUAUUGGGGCUAUCGAUUGCACUCAUGUGUCAAUCAUGAGCCCAAAAGAAUCAUGAAGAAGCGUAUGUCAACCACCAUGGAUACCAUUCUAUCAAUGUGCAAAUGAUAUGUGAUCCAAAUCUAAAGAUUUUGGCUGUCAAUGCUAAAUACCCAGGAGCGCGACACGAUUAAUUUAUUUGGAGCUCCUCUGCAGUCCGGAGAGUUAUGCAGCGAAGUUUUGAAAAUGGAAACCAUAACGUGUUUUUGAUUGGUGACUCAGGAUAUCCUUUGGAGCCGUGGUUGAUGACUCCUCUACCAAACCAACCAGAAGGGAGUCCUAAAUUCCGCUACAAUGAGGCAUUGUGCAAAGCUCGAAACCCAGUCGAGAGACUUUUUGGCGUUCUCAAAGGAACUUGGCGAUGCUUAUCUCAGCAAAGGACUCUUUUGUAUGAUCCUGGAUUUACUGGAAAAGUAGUAAAUGCUUGCACAGUGUUGCAUAACUUGCGAUUGGGUGACCAAACAUACGAUCCCGAGACUGAGUUCCUAGAGCCAAGGACACAUAGCAGUAAUGUAAAUCAAGACGUGUCGUCUUCAACAGCAAAACGCGUCCAAGACCGGCUAAUUGCAAAUUAUUUUACAUGAAUAAAACGUUGAUUAAUAAAAAUUCAGAAGGAGUACAAUAAAAUUAUUUUGGCAUUUUA